GUGGCUUGUUCCUUGACGCGAAGCUGAAGUGUAGCAGCUGCGGACAUCCAUUCACUGCGACAGUUGGGAAUUCUCAAAACUUUUAGAACCAGGCUGAGAUUUGCGGUUUGUUCAGCGAAAAACAGAACAGAAAAAUGGAAAUAAAGAAUCACAUUGAUUCGUGAUGAAGAAACAAUAGCCAAGUUCUACGCGACAAGAGCGAAGAAGAAGAAGAAGAAGAGCGGGAAGAACCGCACAGUAGGGACUGCUGUGCACGAUACGGCUAUGGAUUUCGUGAAAAGACCAGAAUUUAAUAAAGUUUGCAGAGGUAUGAUCAGAAUUUGCACUUCUGAAGAUUUAGGGAUGUUGGAACUAUGUCAUGUUUGGUAUUUUGCUGUUAUACUUGACUCAAUUUAUUGCAUUUUGCCGUAAGAUUCGAUAGAUUAAUUGAGUACUAGAUCUCUAAAGUUGAACUGGGCUUUAUGAGAAGUUUUGCCGGAGCAAAUAGAUUAUUUCAAUUGCAUUUGAAAAGAACAGCAGAUUUGCUCUUAGGUUCCUUCGGAAAAUCGGUGCACCCAUCUGUCUUCUACACUGGAAUCAUUUUUUGUCGAUUUGGUUUGAGCUUGGCAAAGGAACUUUUCUAUGCAAUUUGGCUCUUAUUUUUCUUGUUCUUUCUGUUGGGUCUUCAGCCCUCUUAUGACAGCAAAUAUGGUGGAGAAUAACUGAAUAGAACGGGAUGGCGCUCAACAUAUUUUUUCAAAAAUUGAAGUACUGGAACCCUAAAGUCCACUCUCCUAUUUUUCCUUUUCUUCGAGGCUUCUCACUGUGGUCAAUGAAGAAGGAGCCAGAUCUUGAGUCAGCUCUUGCUAGAAACCGUCGUUGGAUAGUCAAUAAUCAGAUUAAAAACAUAAUUCUUGGAUGCCCUGAGCAAGUUGCACCACUUAAAUUUAUACAGAAAAAAUUUAAAAACCUAGAUCUUCAAGGUUCAGCUCUCAACUGGCUCAAAAAAUACCCCUGUUGCUUUGAAAUCUUUCUCCAGAAUGAGGAGAACUACUGCCGACUGACAAAAAGGAUGAUGUCUCUGGUUGAGGAGGAAGAUUCUGUGAAAGAUGCCCAGGAACCAGUAUUUGUGGAACGAUUAGCAAAGUUGCUGAUGAUGAGCUUUAAUAGGAGACUUAAUGUCAUGAAACUCAAUGAGUUGAAGCGGAACUUUGGGUUUCCAGAUGAUUAUCUGAUUAGAAUCAUACCCAAGUACCCAGAAAUGUUUCGAAUUGUGAAUUUCAGUGGGAGACGAAGUUCAAUGGAGAUAGAGCUGGCAUCCUGGAAUGCUGAUUUAGCAGUUUCUACAAUUGAAGCCUCAGCUCGCAAACUGGGUGCAGAGCCACACUUUUCGUGUUCAUUGCCGUUAAGUUGGGUGAAAUCGUGGGAGAGGUUCCAUGAGUUCAAUGUAACUCCUUAUAUUUCACCGUAUUCAGAUACUAGAGAUUUGGUGGAAGGCUCAAAGGAAAUGGAGAAGAAGACUGUUGGUUUGGUGCACGAGUUGCUAUCUCUGACCUUGUGGAAGAAAUUGUCAAUUAUGAAGCUAGGCCAUUUUAAGAGAGAAUUCUGUUUACCUGAGAAAUUGAAUAUUCUGCUGCUCAAGCAUCCUGGCAUAUUCUAUGUCUCAAAUAAGUACCAGAUUUACACGGUCCUUCUUAGAGGAGGGUAUAAUGGGCCAGAACUGAUUGAUAAGGAUCCACUUGUUAUUGUGAAGGAGAAAUUUGGGGAACUAAUGCAGGAGGGGCUACAUGAAUAUAAUCAAAGACGCUAUCUAAUGAACUUAGAUAAGAAGAAAAAGAAAGGUAUUUUUUCAAGAUCAGAAAAAAGGACAGACAGAAGCUCAGAAAUAUCUGAGCAGAAUGAUCAGAGAGGCAAGCUAGGGGGUUUGCAUGAUCCAGAAGAAAGAAAACGGUUUUUUAAAGUUCUAUUUGAUGAAAUUUUACCAUAAGAAGAUAAAACAGAGAUCAAAAGACUGGCGUGGAGUGGACUAAUGAAAGGGAAGAAGAUGGUUGUUGAAGAAGAUGCAACUGAAGAAAUUGUUGAUGUUGUAGACGAAGAGGAAGAGUAAGGUUCUCAAUAAUGAGAUGAAUGAAGUAGAUGAUGAAGAUGACAUAAACAGAUCUUCUAAUCUUUUAUAUUUACAGUCUAGGAUUCUCAACAAGGAGAUGAAUGAAGUAGAUGAUGAAGAUGAGCUAUGACCAGCACCCCUGUCCCUGAGGUUUUUCCCAUUCUUUCAGAGGCUUGUCAUGAGGAGAUCUCCUAUCCACACUUCUCUCAUAUUGGCAAUGGUUGUUCUCAGUAUUAUGCUCCUGGAAGCUAUGGAAGCAGGGCUCUUGACUGGCCUUAAAAGCUGUUUCCAUUUUGUGGCUAAAUAUGACACUGAUCAUAAUGGGUGGGUCUCUAAAGAAGCUUUCGUGUGUUCUUGUUUUGCAUCAUCUGAAAGUGGUGUGGUUUGGGAUACCCCUCUAAAAGAAAUGCUCAAGACUGGAACUAGAGGCCUUUGCUGAUUUCUUCAACUGCUUGUACUGUACCAGGAUGACAAAGAUUGUCCUAAGGCCGGUGGCCAAGAAUGACUUUCUGGGUUAAUUUGUUCCAUAAGGAAUGUGACUGAUCCAAUAAUACAGGCAAUACUUGCUUCUUAUGGAAGUUAUUUGGAAAACAAAGGUACUAAACAACCUAUUCAGAUGCGUGAUUUGGGGUUCGAAUCACUUACCUUUUUCAAACAAAGCAUUUCUCGAUAAGUGGCUUUGAAGAUUCAUGAUUGAAAGCAAAUAUCUUUGGAGAAAGAUAAUUGUAGCUAAAUAUGAAACUGAUCAUAAUGGGGUUUCUCUAAAGAAGCUUUGAUGAGUUCAUAUUUUGCAUCAUCAAGAAGAGGUAAGGUAAUGCCCGGGGGUUUGUUGUGCUGGUUGCCCCCUUCCUCCCUUCGCUUAGCCCGGGGGGGGGGGGGAAGGAAGUGUGUUGUGGAUAUCCCCUUUGAAAGAAGUGCUCAAAGGCUGGGAAUUUGAGGCCUUUGCUGGUUUCUUCGACUGCUUAUAUUGUACUGUUAUCCGAUGGGAUAACAAAGAUGAUCCCAAGUGGAAGGUGGCCAAGAGUAACUAUUUCUGGGUUAACUUGUUCUAGAAGAAAUGGGGCAGUUCUAGCUUCUCUAGGAAGGCUACUUGGAAAGCGAAAUAGAACAACCCAUACUGUUGGGUGUUUUGGGGUAUAAAUCACUUAUCUUUUUCAAUGGAGUGCUCCUUGGUAGGUAGCUUUGGAGAUUCAUGAUUGAAAGCAAUCAUCUUUGGAGGAAGGUGUGGACAGUUUGGUAGCUAAAUAUUACAGUAAUCAUAAUGCUCUGGUCUCUAAAGAAGCUUCAGCGAGUUUAUGUUUAGCAUCCUUGAAAAGGGUUUUGUUGUGGAUAUGCCCCUCGAAAGAAAUGCUCAGGACCAGGAAUUGGAAGCUCUUGUUGAUUUCUUGGACUGGUUGUACUGUACUGUUGUUUGACAGGAUGACAAAGAUGAUCCCAAGUGGAAGGUGGGGAAGAAUGACUAUUUGAGGGUUAACUUGUUCUACAAGAAAUGGGACAGAUCCAAUAACACAGGCAGUUCUAGCUUCUCUAGGAAGGCUACUUGGAAAGCGAAAUAGAACAACCCAUACUGUUGGGUGUUUUGGGUAAUAAAUCACUUAUCUUUUUCAAUGGAGUGCUCCUUGGUAAGUAGCUUUGGAGAUUCAUGAUUGAAAGCAAUCAUCUUUGGAGGAAAGUGUGGACAGAAUGGUAGCUAAAUAUUACAGUAAUCAUAAUGCUCUGGUCUCUAAAGAAGCUUCAGUGAGUUUGUGUUUAGCAUCCUUGAAAAGGGUUUUGUUCUGGAUAUGCCCCUCAAAAGAAAUGCUCAGAACCAGGAAUUGGAAGCUCUUGUUGAUCACUUGGACUGGUUGUACUGUACUGUUGUUUGACAAGAUGACAAAGAUGAUCCCAAGUGGAAGGUGGUGAAGAAUGACUAUUUGAGGGUUAACUUGUUUUUCAGUUCCAAUUAUACACACAAGACUUCCUUCUCAUGGAAGACUAUGUGGAAGAUAGAAGUACCAAACAACCUAUUUAGUUGGGUGGUUUGGGGCUUAAAUCACGUUUCUUUUUUAGUGAAACUCUGUUCAGUAAGUGGAUUGGGAGAUUCAUGAUUGAAAGAGAGUCUUUAGAGGAAAGUAAUGGUAGCUAAAUAUGACACUUGAUCAUAAUGAAUGGGUCCUAAAAGAGCUUCAGUGAGUUCAUGUUUUGCAUCACCAGGAAGUGUUAUGUUGUGGUGUAUUCUCUUCGAAAGUAAUGCUUUAGGUUGGGAUUAGUGACCUUUGCUGAUUUCUUGGGCUGCUUGUACUGUACUGUUAUUUGAAAGGGCAACAAAGAUGAUCCCAAGUGAAAGGUGGUCAAGAAUGACUAUUUUAGGGUUAACUUGUUAAGUAAGGAGUAGGACAGAUCCAAUAAUAUAGGCAGUACUCACUUCUUUUGGACAAGGUCUUAAAUUUCGAUUUCGACUCAAAUUUUGAAGCUCCAAAAGUACGGAAAUUUUGAUGGAAAUUUUGAUUUCGAUGUCAAUUUUGAUUUUGAUUUGAAAAAAUAAUGGAAACCAGUAGUAGAACAUGGAAUUGUUUUAUGAAGUUUUUGAAAUGAUUAAUAGACAUAAUAAUGUAACUUUUAGGACUACUAUAUUACAAGUAAAUACAUCUAUGCUGUGUAUAAGGUGGAGAAGUUGUAAUAUAAUAUGUGCUUCAAACAUAUUUGUAAGAUAAUGUACAUUAAACAUAUUUUGUGAAUCGGUUAAUACAAUGAAAUUCAUAAAUCA